rnacentral:rRNA from 1 species
AGCUACUGAAUCAUUAUGAGUCAUUAAUUUGGUGAUUAUGAUAACAUAAGGGAAAAAAAAUGAUAUUACCUUAUUAUUAGUGUUGUCCAAAACUGGUGCCAGAAGACUCGGUAAGACCAGAGACGCAAACGUUAGUCAUCUUAAUCAGGCGUAAAGGGUGUGUAGGCUGCUUUAAAAGUUUAAAUCUUUUUAAUAGCUCUUUUGCCGUUGUCCUGCCAUUAUUUAUUUUAUUUAUAAAAUAAUAAACAAUAAUGAAUAUAAAGGCAGUACAUUUUUAAUUUUAUUAAUAUUAAUUUAAUUUAAUAAUUAUAAAGGGGACAAAAAAAGAUAUCCCGGUUUAAGUAAAAAGAAUAAAAUGAAUUAAAGCUAGAAUCAAAUUGAGGAUAAACCAAAUAAUACUUAGAGUAGGGCCGAUAUCCGCAGAUACUAAGGGGAAUACUAAAGGUGAAAGCUUUUUAUCUACUAUUGAUUGACGCUGAGAAACGAAGGUGAGAACAGGAAAUAGGAUUUGAUACCCAGAUACCUCUCACUGUCAACGAUGAAUGGUGGUUGUUAGUUUUAAUAAAAACUGGUAACGAUGUUAACACGAUAACCAUUCCGCCUUGCGAGUACGGUUGCAAAACUGAAACCAAAAAAAUUAGUCGGUU